GAAGCGUCUGGAAAGGCGCGCGAUACAGGGUGACAGCCCCGUACACAAAAAUGCACAUGCUGUGAGCUCGAUGAGUAGGGCGGGACACGUGGUAUCCUGUCUGAAUAUGGGGGGACCAUCCUCCAAGGCUAAAUACUCCUGACUGACCGAUAGUGAACCAGUACCGUGAGGGAAAGGCGAAAAGAACCCCGGCGAGGGGAGUGAAAAAGAACCUGAAACCGUGUACGUACAAGCAGUGGGAGCACGCUUAGGCGUGUGACUGCGUACCUUUUGUAUAAUGGGUCAGCGACUUAUAUUCUGUAGCAAGGUUAACCGAAUAGGGGAGCCGAAGGGAAACCGAGUCUUAACUGGGCGUUAAGUUGCAGGGUAUAGACCCGAAACCCGGUGAUCUAGCCAUGGGCAGGUUGAAGGUUGGGUAACACUAACUGGAGGACCGAACCGACUAAUGUUGAAAAAUUAGCGGAUGACUUGUGGCUGGGGGUGAAAGGCCAAUCAAACCGGGAGAUAGCUGGUUCUCCCCGAAAGCUAUUUAGGUAGCGCCUCGUGAAUUCAUCUCCGGGGGUAGAGCACUGUUUCGGCAAGGGGGUCAUCCCGACUUACCAACCCGAUGCAAACUGCGAAUACCGGAGAAUGUUAUCACGGGAGACACACGGCGGGUGCUAACGUCCGUCGUGAAGAGGGAAACAACCCAGACCGCCAGCUAAGGUCCCAAAGUCAUGGUUAAGUGGGAAACGAUGUGGGAAGGCCCAGACAGCCAGGAUGUUGGCUUAGAAGCAGCCAUCAUUUAAAGAAAGCGUAAUAGCUCACUGGUCGAGUCGGCCUGCGCGGAAGAUGUAACGGGGCUAAACCAUGCACCGAAGCUGCGGCAGCGACGCUGAUGCGUUGUUGGGUAGGGGAGCGUUCUGUAAGCCUGUGAAGGUGUGCUGUGAGGCAUGCUGGAGGUAUCAGAAGUGCGAAUGCUGACAUAAGUAACGAUAAAGCGGGUGAAAAGCCCGCUCGCCGGAAGACCAAGGGUUCCUGUCCAACGUUAAUCGGGGCAGGGUGAGUCGACCCCUAAGGCGAGGCCGAAAGGCGUAGUCGAUGGGAAACAGGUUAAUAUUCCUGUACUUGGUGUUACUGCGAAGGGGGGACGGAGAAGGCUAUGUUGGCCGGGCGACGGUUGUCCCGGUUUAAGCGUGUAGGCUGGUUUUCCAGGCAAAUCCGGAAAAUCAAGGCUGAGGCGUGAUGACGAGGCACUACGGUGCUGAAGCAACAAAUGCCCUGCUUCCAGGAAAAGCCUCUAAGCAUCAGGUAACAUCAAAUCGUACCCCAAACCGACACAGGUGGUCAGGUAGAGAAUACCAAGGCGCUUGAGAGAACUCGGGUGAAGGAACUAGGCAAAAUGGUGCCGUAACUUCGGGAGAAGGCACGCUGAUAUGUAGGUGAAGUCCCUCGCGGAUGGAGCUG
rnacentral:rRNA from 1 species